rnacentral:rRNA from 1 species
UACGUAGGGGGCAAGCGUUGUCCGGAUUUAUUGGGCGCAAAGAGCGUGUAGGCGGCUAGGUAGGUCCGUUGUGAAAACUCGAGGCUCAACCUCGAGACGCCGGUGGAAACCAUCUAGCUAGAGUCCGGAAGAGGAGAGUGGAAUCCCUGGUGUAGCGGUGAAAUGCGCAGAUAUCAGGAAGAACACCCGUGGCGAAGGCGGCUCUCUGGGACGUGACUGACGCUGAGACGCGAAAGCGUGGGGAGCGAACAGG